AGAGUUUGAUCAUGGCUCAGGACGAACGCUGGCGGCGUGCUUAACACAUGCAAGUCGAACGAUGAUCCGGUUUCGGCCGGUGAUUAGUGGCGAACGGGUGAGUAACACGUGGGUAAUCUGCCCUGCACUCUGGGAUAAGCCUGGGAAACUGGGUCUAAUACCGGAUAUGACCUUCGGUCGCAUGAUCGUUGGUGGAAAGCUUUUGCGGUGUGGGAUGGGCCCGCGGCCUAUCAGCUUGUUGGUGGGGUGAUGGCCUACCAAGGCGACGACGGGUAGCCGGCCUGAGAGGGUGACCGGCCACACUGGGACUGAGACACGGCCCAGACUCCUACGGGAGGCAGCAGUGGGGAAUGUUGCACAAUGGGCGCAAGCCUGAUGCAGCGACGCCGCGUGAGGGAUGACGGCCUUCGGGUUGUAAACCUCUUUCAGCAGGGAAGAAGCGCAAGUGACGGUACCUGCAGAAGAAGCACCGGCUAACUACGUGCCAGCAGCCGCGGUAAUACGUAGGGUGCAAGCGUUGUCCGGAAUUAUUGGGCGUAAAGAGCUCGUAGGCGGCUUGUCGCGUCGGUUGUGAAAGCCCGGGGCUUAACCCUGGGUCUGCAGUCGAUACGGGCAGGCUAGAGUUCGGUAGGGGAGACUGGAAUUCCUGGUGUAGCGGUGAAAUGCGCAGAUAUCAGGAGGAACACCGGUGGCGAAGGCGGGUCUCUGGGCCGAUACUGACGCUGAGGAGCGAAAGCGUGGGGAGCGAACAGGAUUAGAUACCCUGGUAGUCCACGCUGUAAACGGUGGGAACUAGGUGUGGGCAGCAUUCCACGUUGUCUGUGCCGUAGCUAACGCAUUAAGUUCCCCGCCUGGGGAGUACGGCCGCAAGGCUAAAACUCAAAUGAAUUGACGG
rnacentral:rRNA from 1 species